GCCGCGCGCAGCUGUGUGCUAACGGCUCCUUGAAGCUGGUUUAAAAGGUUUUUUCCCCUUUCAGGUGAGCUUCCGUCGCUCUGAAGCAGUGAGGCUGAGUGCUGCUGGGGCUGCGGCCCUCGAACGCGGCUCUUCCCGGCUCUGAAGUCCCCGAUUUUCCCAGAGAAUUGCGGCCUGCUUAGAAGUAAAGCAGCGCUGCGCUGGGUGCUCCUGCUGCCCUCCUUCUGGCGCGUUAUUUCCGAGCUGUUCCCAUCGCUGCCUUGACGAUGGCUUAUUGCUCAGCACUCAGCCCGAAUGCCACCAGCGGGGGCUGCGAGGACAGCACCGUCACUUCCUAUGUUUCCCUCUCCAAAACAAAGCCCUCCUGAAGCGCUGGAUCCACAGCACGGGCCGGGACGUGGGGACGCCUUCCAAGCACCGGCAGUUGUGUUCAAAGUGCUUUGAGGACAGUUCUUUUGAAAUCAACCCCUUAACAAUCAAGAGGAGCAGAUGUCUGCUGAAAGAGGCCGUUCCCGAGAAGUUCAUCCUGGGGGAAGAUGGGAACUGGCUCAUCAGGAGCCCUCACAGCCUCUGUGGUGGAAUAAGUCUGUGGGACAUUUGGGAACGUGGCAGCAAAAGAGGGGAAGAGUCUGGAAGAAUGGCAGAAAGAACUGUACGAGGAGGAGGAGGAGGAGGAGGUGAUGAAGGAGGAUUGCAGAUCUCUGGAAUCUGCAGACAACGGCCUCUAUUUUUUGUACAAUUCUGAUCUGAUUGAGGGG